GAUGAACGCUGGCGGCGUGCUUAACACAUGCAAGUCGAACGUGAUCCAUUAGCAAUAGUGGUGAAAGUGGCGAACGGGUGAGUAACACGUAGAUAACCUACCCUGAAGCGGGGAUAACGAUUGGAAACGGUCGCUAAUACCGCAUGAGCCUAUUGAAGCGGGAGUGAGAUAGGGAAAAUUCAGGUGCUUUAGGCGGGGUCUGCGUUCGAUUAGCUAGUUGGUGAGGUAACGGCUCACCAAGGCGACGAUCGGUAGCUGGUCUGAGAGGACGAUCAGCCACACGGGAACUGAGACACGGUCCCGACUCCUACGGGGGGCAGCAGUGAGGAAUAUUGGGCAAUGGGCGGAAGCCUGACCCAGCAACGCCGCGUGGAGGAUGAAGGCCUUCGGGUCGGUAAAACUCCUUUUGACGGGGAAGAGGAAGGACGGUACCCGUCGAAUAAGUCACGGCUAACUACGUGCCAGCAGCCGCGGUAA
rnacentral:rRNA from 1 species